AUUGAACGCUGGCGGCAGGCCUAACACAUGCAAGUCGAACGGUAACAGGAAGAAGCUUGCUUCUUUGCUGACGAGUGGCGGACGGGUGAGUAAUGUCUGGGAAACUGCCUGAUGGAGGGGGAUAACUACUGGAAACGGUAGCUAAUACCGCAUAACGUCGCAAGACCAAAGAGGGGGACCUUCGGGCCUCUUGCCAUCGGAUGUGCCCAGAUGGGAUUAGCUAGUAGGUGGGGUAACGGCUCACCUAGGCGACGAUCCCUAGCUGGUCUGAGAGGAUGACCAGCCAAACUGGAACUGUGACACGGUCCAGACUCCUACGGGAGGCAGCAGUGGGGAAUAUUGCACAAUGGGAGCAAGCCUGAUGCAGCCAUGCCGCGGGUAUGAAGAAGGCCUUCGGGUUGUAAAGUACUUUCAGCGGGGAGGAAGGGAGUAAAGUUAAUACCUUUACUCAUUGACGUUACCCGCAGAAGAAGCACCGGCUAACCCC
rnacentral:rRNA from 1 species